rnacentral:lncRNA from 1 species
AUAAAUGACACUACUUCGAAAAAUGACAUUAUAACAUUUUAAAUGACACUUUAUAUAAUUGACACUAUAAGGUUGAAAUAGGCACUAUUCGGAUAUAAAAAUGAUACUUUUAAUAUAGAACAAAUGAAACCUUUAAUAUAGAACAAAUGAUAGUAUUUUUCUUAAUAAAUGAAACCAUUAAUAUAGAACAAAUGAUACUAUUUUUCAAACUAAAUAAAAUAAAAUAAAAAUUAAAUUUGAAACGAAAAACAAAAAAGAAGAAGAAGAAAAAAAGAAGAAAAAAAUAAUGAAAAAAAAGAAUAAAGAAGAAGGAAAAAACGAAAAAGAAAAAAGAAGGAAAAUGACACUUUUUAUUUUGCAAUUGAAACUUUUAAUAUAUAUAUACACGUCCUAUUUUUUCUUGGUAAAUGAGACUUUUAAUAAUAGAAAAUGAC